ACCACCACCACAUGGAAUUUCUUAAGCCUGAAUAUUGUCUAAAUAAAGAGAUUACUCGGGGAGAAAAAUUAGCUAGCUGCAAAAAUCUUCCAGGGUUUUAAGAGAAGUUAUUAAGCAAUCAUAGUCUUGAGCGAAUAAACUGGGCUAGUUAAAAGUCACAACUGAAUGUCAGCCCUUGUCUUGCUUGAGAAAGCUGGUAAGGGCAGUUUCUAAACCAAGGGAAUCUGACUGUUCUGUGUUCGAUUUGUUAGGUCUGGCUCAGCGUGCUGAACUCUUCUGGCAGCUGAAAGGGGAAGUCGGAAAAAAAGGCAAGUUCCCGGUGCAGAGGUGCUCUGCAGCAUAAAACUGGCAUUGGAGGAGCUGCCGUUGUCACGCUGUACCAGAUGGGCUUUCCUGAAGCUGCCAGGAAGGAGAGCAGUUUGUGAAGAAAAUUGGUGGUAUUUUUGCCUUCAAGGUGAAAGAUGGCCCUAGGGGUGAAGAAGCCACCUGGGUGGUGGACAUAAUGACCAGAAGGACCUGUGCUCCCUAACUCAGAUAAGAAGGCUGACUGAACAAUCACAAUGACUGACUCGGACUUACUGGCUCUGAUGACUGGUAAAAUGAAUCCUCAGAUGGCCUUCUUUCAAGGCAGAUUGAAAAUCACUGGCAACAUGAAUCUGGCUCUGAAGUGACAAAAUCUCCAGCUUCAGCAGCAGGCAAAGCUAAGCUGUAAAGAACUCCCUUUGCCUACCUUUGAAAAUCAAGUUGAGAUAUAUAGAUAUACAUAUAUUUCAUUGUCAGAACUUAGAUUGAAACUACACAUUGGGAAAUAGCAUGAAGUUUGUUUUUCAAUGGGUGUGACCAAUCUUGUUUUUCCUAAGCCCUGGGUGAACAGAGCCUGAUGGUUUACUACUGCUUUGCUGAAUUGCAUUCAACUGUGCA
rnacentral:lncRNA from 1 species